UACGUAGGGUGCAAGCGUUGUCCGGAAUUAUUGGGCGUAAAGAGCUCGUAGGCGGUUUGUCGCGUCUGCUGUGAAAACUCGGGGCUCAACCCCGGGAGGCGGGUGGAUACUGUCAAGCUCGAGUCCGGAAGAGGAGUGUGGAAUUCCUGGUGUAGCGGUGAAAUGCGCAGAUAUCAGGAGGAACACCAAUGGCGAAGGCAGCACUCUGGGACGUGACUGACGCUGAGACGCGAAAGCGUGGGGAGCAAACAGG
rnacentral:rRNA from 1 species